UUAAGUUCAGCGGGUAAUCCUACCUGAUUCGAGGUCAAAGGUGAAAAAGUAUGGGUUUCUGUGAGCCCCUCCGAACGAACGCUUUCAGCGAAGACAAAGUUUAUCACGCUUAGUUGCGACGAUCGCAUUCGGGGCUAAUGCAUUUCAGGACAGUCGACUUGCGCCGACAGGUCCCAAUUCCAAGCUUGCAAGCAACAAAG
rnacentral:misc_RNA from 1 species